ACAUAAAAAUACUACUACUUUUCACUGAAACAGUGUAGCACACGGAUUGACAUGCAAAGAUUCCUAUAGCCAAAACUUUUCCAAACUACUGCUAUUAUUCACCGAAACCGACUGCUAUGACUGUCACCGAAACCGACUGCUUUGACGAUCGGAUUCACAUCCCACAGCCAACAACAAAUCAAGUCAAUAGCAAACAACAUGCAACCAGUGGCAAUCAUCAAAUUUGCUGGCAAUCAGAACAGCGAGAUAGCAGAAGUCGCCGGAUUUGCUUAGCAGCUCCAAAUCAUCAAAUUUGCUGGCAAUCAGAACAGCGAGAUAGCAAAAGUCGCCGGAUUUGCUUAGGGGGUGUUUAGAUGGGGCUAAAACUUUUUAGCCCAAGUCACAUCAGAUGUUUGAACGCUAAUUUAGAGUAUUAAACAUAGACUAAUAAAAAAACUAAUUUCAUAAAUGAGAGCUAAUCCGCGAGACGAUUUUUUUAAGCCUAAUUAAUCCAUAAUUAUCAAAAGUUUACUGUAGCAUCACAUUGUCAAAAUCAUGACAUAAUUAGACUCAAAAGAUUCGUCUCGCGAAUUAGUCCAAGCUUAUGGAAUAGGUUUUGUAAUUAAUGUAUGUUUAAUACUCCAAAUUAGUGUCCAAAUAUCCGAUGUGACAUGGACUUGGAAUAAGUCCCUGGAAACCAAACAGCCCCUUAGCAGCUCCAAGUCACCGGAUUUGCCUUCUACAGUUUGUUUUCUUCCACUGGCAACCUUUAUUUUUUUUUAAUGUUUGGCCCGUCUUUCCCUCCUAUAAUGAAGAUUAUUAGAAAUUAAUCAAAUAAUAA
rnacentral:lncRNA from 1 species